CCCUUAGAUGUCCUGGGCCGCACGCGCGUUACACUGAUGCAUUCAACGAACCUAUAACCUUGGCCGAGAGGCCUGGGCAAUCUUGUUAACGUGCAUCGUGAUAGGGAUAGAUUAUUGAAAUUAUUAAUCUUGAACGAGGAAUUCCUAGUAAACGCAGAUCAUCAAUCUGCAUUGAUUACGUCCCUGCCCUUUGUACACACCGCCCGUCGCACCUACCGAUUGGAUGGUCCGGUGAAGCCUCGGGAUUGUGGUUCUUGCCGCUUUAUUGUGGCGUGACCGCGAGAACUUGUCUAAACCUUAUCAUCUAGAGGAAGGUGAAGUCGUAACA
rnacentral:rRNA from 1 species